ACGAACGCUGGCGGCGUGCCUAAUACCUGCCAGUCGAGCGAAGUUUUUCUGGUGCUUGCACUAGAAAAACUUAGCGGCGAACGGGUGAGUAACACGUAAAGAACCUGCCUCAUAGACUGGGACAACUAUUGGAAACGAUAGCUAAUACCGGAUAACAGCAUUAACUGCAUGGUUGAUGUUUAAAAGUUGGUUUUGCUAACACUAUGAGAUGGCUUUGCGGUGCAUUAGCUAGUUGGUGGGGUAAAGGCCUACCAAGGCGACGAUGCAUAGCCGACCUGAGAGGGUGAUCGGCCACACUGGGACUGAGACACGGCCCAGACUCCUACGGGAGGCAGCAGUAGGGAAUCUUCCGCAAUGGGCGAAAGCCUGACGGAGCAACGCCGCGUGAGUGAAGAAGGAUUUCGGUUCGUAAAGCUCUGUUGUUAGGGAAGAAUGAUUGUGUAGUAACUAUACACAGUAGAGACGGUACCUAACCAGAAAGCCACGGCUAACUACGUG
rnacentral:rRNA from 1 species